rnacentral:rRNA from 1 species
UACGUAGGGUGCGAGCGUUGUCCGGAAUUAUUGGGCGUAAAGAGCUCGUAGGCGGCCUGUUGCGUCCGCUGUGAAAGCCCGGGGCUUAACCCCGGGUCGGCAGUGGAUACGGGCAGGCUAGAGGUAGGUAGGGGAGAAUGGAAUUCCCGGUGUAGCGGUGAAAUGCGCAGAUAUCGGGAGGAACACCAGUAGCGAAGGCGGCACUCUGGGCCGUGACUGACGCUGAGGAGCGAAAGCGUGGGUAGCAAACAGG